UACAGAGGGUGCAAGCGUUGUUCGGAAUUAUUGGGCGUAAAGCGUGCGUAGUCGGCUUUUUAAGUCGGGUGUGAAAUCCCCGGGCUCAACCUGGGAAUUGCAUUCGAUACUGGAUGGCUAGAGUUCGGCAGAGGGAAGUGGAAUUUCUGGUGUAGCGGUGAAAUGCGUAGAUAUCAGAAGGAACAUCAGUGGCGAAAGCGACUUCCUGGACCAGAACUGACGAUCAGGCACGAAAGCGUGGGGAGCAAACAGG
rnacentral:rRNA from 1 species